GAGGGUAUAGCUCAGUGGUAGAGUGCAUGCCUAGCAUGCAUGAGGGCCUGGGUUCAAUCCCCAUCACCUCUA
rnacentral:tRNA from 1 species